GAGAGAGAGAGACACGAGAACCAAACCAAAACAGAAAACAAAAACCUAGAACAUUAGUUCCCUUGGGAGGCAAGGGGUCUGGGGCCCAGCAGGGCCUCUGAGGACUGGGGGGCUUCUCAGCAGCUCCCCGUGGCUGCUUCCCCGUCUCCCCACCCCCUAAGUUUCACAUUUCUCAGAAUUCUUCGGGCUCUGAUGGGGGCUCCAGGGGUCCUCAGAGCCCGGCCUCCUGCUGGCUGGUGAAAGCCCGCACAGUUGGAGAUUUAGGGGCUGGGGAGGAGUAGAGGUGGCGGUGGUGAUGGGCUGGGGACUUCCCAUGGGGCCCGAAGGCGUCUUUGGGGGGCCUCCUGGCCAACUCCUGCGGCUUCUGCAGGCAGGUCCCCCACCCCCGCUGGCUCACAGGUGCUCCAGGCUUGGCUGUGGUUCACACUGAGCUCCUGCGCUUCAUGAGGCCGCGGAAGGUAGCCAGGCUGUGCAGGCCCGUGGACACGGAGCUGAUGGCCGAGCGUUGCGUCCCGCUGCACAGGCAAGGGUGUGAGGGCGUGUCGCUGUAGCGGCCGCCGCCU
rnacentral:lncRNA from 1 species